UAGGGAAUCUUCCACAAUGGACGCAAGUCUGAUGGAGCAACGCCGCGUGAGUGAAGAAGGUUUUCGGAUCGUAAAGCUCUGUUGUUGGUGAAGAAGGAUAGAGGUAGUAACUGGCCGUUAUUUGACGGUAAUCAACCAGUAAGUCACGGCUAACUACGUGCCAGCAGCCGCGGUAAUACGUAGGUGGCAAGCGUUGUCCGGAUUUAUUGGGCGUAAAGCGAGAGCAGGCGGAAGAGUAAGUCUGAUGUGAAAGCCCUCGGCUUAACCGAGGAACUGCAUCGGAAACUGUUUUUCUUGAGUGCAGAAGAGGAGAGUGGAACUCCAUGUGUAGCGGUGGAAUGCGUAGAUAUAUGGAAGAACACCAGUGGCGAAGGCGACUCUCUGGUCUGCAACUGACGCUGAGGCUCGAAAGCAUGGGUAGCGAACAGG
rnacentral:rRNA from 1 species